GCCUGGGUGGCUCAGUCGGUUGAGCGUCCGACUUUAGCUCAGAUCAUGAUCUCACGGUCCGUGAGUUUGAGCCCCACGUCGGGCU
rfam:Felis catus isolate Cinnamon breed Abyssinian chromosome B2, whole genome shotgun sequence.